CACAAGGGCCUGGUGGUGGGAAUCACCAUCUUUCCAUGAGCUCUUUGUGCCAGUUCAUUGAGGACAUUUGAGAGUGUGUGUGUGUGCCAUUCUUCUUGCUCAACCAAUGAACUGUCUUCUUUUGCCCUUUGCACAUGGACCACUGAAACCACUGGUGCUGACAUUAAACUAUUCUGCCUCUGCUAAGAACCAUUCAUCUCCUCUAUAAACUAUCUGCUGGAUUUUAAAUCUCCACCACCUCUCACUCAACUAGGGUUGAACAGGAAAACUGCGUCUGGGCAGCAGAAGUAGACUCUCCUUAAUCCAAGAAGAACUGUUCAUGUAAAAUAGUUUUUCAGAACCAGUUGAAAAUA